UCAAGAAUUAAGGCCGAUGUAUUGUGAUGAAAUAAAAAUAAAAAUGUAAGAUAAUGCACAUUCAGACAAUCCUGGUCAAUAAUCCUUGGCGCACUUAGUCGAAAUAGCAUAACCUUUACUUCAUUUCUGAUUACCAUGUAAAUAUUUGCCAAUUUUAUACAAAAUUUCAUGUCCAAACACCCCCUAUCCCCCUUAUCAAUGUUGUGUAACACCUUGGACGUAUAACACACUACAGACAACAUUGCACGGGGGAAAGGGGGGUUGCUAUGCUUGUUAUUGAAGUGGGAGUCAAAUUUCGCACAGUCAGUGUCA